UUUAUUUUGACAUGCAGUGUGGUUACAAAGGAGUUAUUCCAGCAUGUAGACAUUCAUCAUCUCCCCCUUUCAAUGUGACCCACAUUGUUCAUUACUUGUAAUUUCCAUGCUAUAGUUUCAUUGUUAUGUGCAUCUUUAACACAGUAGGUUCAUUUUAUUCCCAAAUAUAUAACACUGUAGGUUCAUCAUUACUUGUAUUUUCCACACACUAGGUUCAUCAUUACUUGUAUUUUCCACACACUAGGCUCAUCAUUACUUGUAUUUUCCACACACUAGGCUCAUCAUUACUUGUAUUUUCCACACACUAGGCUCAUCAUUACUUGUAUUUUCCACACACUAGGUUCAUCAUUACUUGUAUUUUCCACACACUAGGUUCAUCAUUACUUGUAAAUAACAAUAAAUUAAUAAAAAGUUGUAAUGGC
rnacentral:sRNA from 1 species